rnacentral:rRNA from 1 species
AGGGCAAGUCUGGUGCCAGCAGCCGCGGUAAUUCCAGCUCCAAUAGCGUAUAUUAAAGUUGUUGCAGUUAAAAAGCUCGUAGUUGAAUUUCGGGGUUCUACCGUUGGUCGGGCUUUGUCUGUACUGGCGUGUAGAAUUUCUACCUUCUGGGGAACCAUUAUGUUAUUAAUUUAGCAUAGUGGGAAACCAGGACCUUUACCUUGAAAAAAUUAGAGUGUUCAAAGCAGGCUUAUGUCUGAAUACAUUAGCAUGGAAUAAUAGAAUAGGACGGUGGUCCUGUUUUGUUGGUUUCUGAAUCACCGUAAUGAUUAAUAGGGAUAGUUGGGGGCAUUAGUAUUCAAUUGUCAGAGGUGAAAUUCUUGGAUUUAUUGAAGACUAACUUCUGCGAAAGCAUUUGCCAAGGAUGUUUUCAUUAAUCAAGAACGAAAGUUAGGGGAUCGAAGACGAUCAGAUACCGUCGUAGUCUUAACCAUAAACUAUGUCGACUAGGGAUCGGACGAUGUUAAUUUUUCUUGACUCGUUCGGCGCCUUACGGGAA